GUCUGGGUGACCGAGUGAGACCCUGCCGCUGAAAGAGAAAUAAAUAAUAAACAGCAAGAAUUCAGAUAUUGAAUGUGCUGCUGUUUCUUCUCAUGGAAUGUUUUAGAAAACUCAAGAAUGUAAAAGUUAUGGGACACACAAGAGAGACGAGCGCAGAUCAGCUUUUCAGUGUUUGGGGCUCGGUGUGGCCAUGAGCAUAAUCUUCACCCUCCUUCAUUGCUCCUUUUCUUUUCUCUUUCACCUUCUGUCGCAUUCCCAGGCUCUAUUAAUUCCUGCAGAAGCAAGAGAGUUGUAAGAUCACCUGUUGGUGAUGACUCUUCACCUCUGAGAUCUCUAGAGAUUCACGUGAGACUGUUAAAAACAGAGUUGCAGGCGUCAUAGCUCAGGACGGGAAGGAAUCACCUCCGGAAUUGUCUCCUAGGAAGUUUGUCUUCGGAUCCUAAGCUUGCAACUCAUUAUUUAAUACUGAGCUUCUUAAUGCUACAUUUGAAAUAAGCAAGAGAUUCUCCUGUAGAUAAAUGAUAUUUCCCCUACAGAAAAUUACCUCAUCACGUGGAGUAGAAUGUCUCUUAAGGCCGUGGAGUGAGGA
rnacentral:lncRNA from 1 species